CAGGAGCAGCAGAAAUCCCUCAACAGCAACAUUGUACCCAUCAGGUGCUCCUUUCAGAGGUCGCCAGAGUGAAUAAUCUGGCUCCAGCUCAGCCUAUUGCUAGCGUCCCCCUCUGUCACAUGUCCUCCUUCACUGUGGUCUUCGUCUUUUCCUUAUGCCUGACAGCUCCAUCUUCAACUCCCUUUGUCCAAUAUAUCCACUAUCUCUCCUUUGCACUUGUCCACACAAUCAGCCUGGUUUCUCUAACUUUGCCCACUCAGCCUGAGCUAUCCUUCUGAUGUACUCAUUUCUGGUUAUGUGCUUUGUGAUCACUCCUUAAGUAAAUCUUAACAUCUUCAACUCUGCUUUCUGUCAGUGCCACCGUCUCCAGACCUCCAAACAUCUUAACAGCUCUGCACUGACCGUGAUGGGUUAAGGACUUUCUACGGUCCUGUCCAGCUGAUGGCCUGUCUCCUGGAAACAAUGUUCUUUGGACUGUGCUGGGAGACACAGUAAACAUUCUGGCUGUGACAUGUGUUAAUGUGCAAUCCACGAGGACUUGGAUUACCUGUGUUUGUUUGCUAUUUUGGCCUUAGAGACGCUGAUGUUGUUUUGCUUUCUUUUUAAUCUCCUGUUUAUUUUAAUGAUGUAAGUUAAUUAUAAAUAGUUUAUUGUAAAUAAAUACUAUGCAGUAAGGGGUUUGUAACUGUAUAUGUAAACUUCUGACCACAAUUGUACAUCAGUAUUUUCUGAAGCCAAUCUCAUAUGCUG